rnacentral:rRNA from 1 species
CCUACGGGAGGCAGCAGUGGGGAAUAUUGGACAAUGGGCGAAAGCCUGAUCCAGCAAUGCCGCGUGAGUGAUGAAGGCCUUAGGGUCGUAAAGCUCUUUUACCAGGGAUGAUAAUGACAGUACCUGGAGAAUAAGCUCCGGCUAACUCCGUGCCGGCAGCCGCGGUAAUACGGAGGGAGCUAGCGUUGUUCGGAAUUACUGGGCGUAAAGCGUGCGUAGGCGGUUAUUCAAGUCAGAGGUGAAAGCCCGGGGCUCAACCCCGGAACGGCCUUUGAAACUAGAUAACUAGAAUCUUGGAGAGGUCAGUGGAAUUCCGAGUGUAGAGGUGAAAUUCGUAGAUAUUCGGAAGAACACCAGUGGCGAAGGCGACUGACUGGACAAGUAUUGACGCUGAGGUACGAAAGCGUGGGGAGCAAACAGGAUUAGAUACCCUGGUAGUCCACGCCGUAAACGAUGAUAACUAGCUGUCCGGACACUUGGUGUUUGGGUGGCGCAGCUAACGCAUUAAGUUAUCCGCCGUGGGGAGUACGGUCGCAAGAUUAAACNCAANGAAUUGACGGNNGAGAGNGCGAGACGACGACGAGGAGAG